AUUGAACGCUGGCGGCAGGCUUAACACAUGCAAGUCGAGCGGUAACAGAUCUAGCUUGCUAGAUGCUGACGAGCGGCGGACGGGUGAGUAACGCGUAGAAAACUGCCCAGUAGUGGGGGAUAGCCCAGAGAAAUUUGGAUUAAUACCGCAUACGCCCUACGGGGGAAAGGGGGCUUCGGCUCUCGCUAUUGGAUGUGUCUGCGUGGGAUUAGCUAGUUGGUGAGGUAAGGGCUCACCAAGGCGACGAUCCCUAGCUGGUCUGAGAGGAUGAUCAGCCACACUGGGACUGAGACACGGCCCAGACUCCUACGGGAGGCAGCAGUGGGGAAUAUUGCACAAUGGGCGCAAGCCUGAUGCAGCCAUGCCGCGUGUGUGAAGAAGGCUUUCGGGUUGUAAAGCACUUUCAGUGAGGAGGAAAAGUUAACGGUUAAUACCCGUUAGCCCUGGCGUUACUCACAGAAGAAGCACCGCUAACU
rnacentral:rRNA from 1 species